UCUCGCUCGCUGAUGAAAAGGAAGUGACCGAAAGCAAUUUGAUUCAGCUUGAAUACAAAUAAUACGUCAGUAUAUUUUCGGCAUAUUUUGAAAUUUGUGACGUAGUUUCGGUAUAUUUCUGAGUGUCUGUUUACCAUUGCACGUAUGAAAAUAAAAGUGAAUAAUAAAAAAUAUUAAAGAAAGGAGAGGAGAACUACACACAACGCGCAAUCAAAUAUAUGAGUUAUUGUUUAUACAGUCAAGGAAAAAAGUCAACAUACAGCACCGAUUUUUCAAUAUUUCGGGUUUUCGCAAUGAAAAUUAAAAAAGUUGGUAUGCCAUUAUUUAGGACACUUAAAGUUAUUAUUAUUUCAGAAA